rnacentral:rRNA from 1 species
CUACGGGGCGCUCCAGUGAGGAAUAUUGCACAAUGGGGGGAACCCUGAUGCAGCAACGCCGCGUGGGGGGUGACGCAUUUCGGUGUGUAAACUCCUUUUAUAUGUCAAGAAAAUGACGGUAGCAUAUGAAUAAGCACCGGCUAACUCCGUGCCAGCAGCCGCGGUAAUACGGAGGGUGCAAGCGUUACUCGGAAUCACUGGGCGUAAAGGACGCGUAGGCGGGUUGGAAAGUCAGGUGUGAAAUCCUACAGCUUAACUGUAGAACUGCACUUGAAACUUCUAAUCUAGAGUAUGGGAGGGGGAGAUGGAAUUAGUGGUGUAGGGGUAAAAUCCGUAGAUAUCACUAGGAAUACCUAAAGCGAAGGCGAUCUCCUGGAACAUUACUGACGCUAAGGCGUGAAAGCGUGGGGAGCAAAUAGGAUUAGAUACCCGUGUAGUC